UACGAAGGGGGCUAGCGUUGCUCGGAAUGACUGGGCGUAAAGGGCGCGUAGGCGGCUUGCACAGUCAGGCGUGAAAUUCCUGGGCUCAACCUGGGGACUGCGCUUGAGACGUGUGGGCUUGAGUGGGGAAGAGGGUCGUGGAAUUCCCAGUGUAGAGGUGAAAUUCGUAGAUAUUGGGAAGAACACCGGUGGCGAAGGCGGCGACCUGGUCCUUGACUGACGCUGAGGCGCGAAAGCUAGGGGAGCAAACGGG
rnacentral:rRNA from 1 species